rnacentral:rRNA from 1 species
GGGGAAUUUUCCGCAAUGGGCGAAGGCCUGACGGAGCAAUACCGCGUGAGGGAGGAAGGCUCUUGGGUUGUAAACCUCUUUUCUCAGGGAAUAAGAACUGAAGGUACCUGAGGAAUCAGCAUCGGCUAACUCCGUGCCAGCAACCGCGGUAAUAACGGAGGACGCAAGCGUUAUCCGGAAUGAUUGGGCGUAAAGCGUCCGCAGGUGGUUUAUCAAGUCUGCUGUCAAAGAGUUUGGCUCAACCAAAUAAAGGCAGUGGAAACUGACAGANCUGGAGUGCGGUAAGGGCAGAGGGAAUUCCUGGUGUAGCGGUGAAAUGCGUAGAGAUCAGGAAGAACACCGGUGGCGAAAGCGCUCUGCUGGGCCGUAACUGACACUGAGGGACGAAAGCUAGGGGAGCGAAUGGGAUUAGAUACCCCAGUAGUC